CGUAUUUGUAAAAUAUCUUGUUGCAAGAUUUUUGUGAUUCAUGAUUUAAUCUGUGAAGUAUUUUUGCAUUGCAAACACCUGGUUUUCAAAUUGAAGCAGCAGAAACUGAUCAAUGGUUACCUGAUCUACAAAGCAGAACAACUUUGAAGCCCGUUAAACCCUUACACCUCAGCCACGACGAUGGAUUGCGGAAAUAAAACAAUGAAAAAGUUGAUGCAUGUUUCUCCCCACUCUUUCUCUCAAUGAACAGAGAACUACGAGGAUUGAGAACAGUGGUGCUAAUGCUCAUCAUGAUCAGUUUCGGAAUUCGAGUAACUCACGUGCCCUUCUCAUGAGGCAAGUUGCUUGAAAUAUUGGGCUUCAAGCUGGAAGCAAUGUAUGUGUCUGGAAUCAGACUCGUCCUUUGCGGCCUUGAUUGAGUUCCUAGAACAAGUUCUCUGCCUCUGGGAACCUAUGUGAAAAGAAUGGAUGAUGAGGGUAUCUUCACACUUUCUAUCUUCAUAGUUUUCUAGCAUCCUGGAGGCUUAUCAAGCAAAAAUCAGGCGAGGAUAGUGCGAGAACGAU
rnacentral:lncRNA from 1 species